rnacentral:rRNA from 1 species
AUUAAACGCUGGCGGCAUGCCUUACACAUGCAAGUCGAACGGCAGCACGGGGGCAACCCUGGUGGCGAGUGGCGAACGGGUGAGUAAAGCAUCGGAACGUGCCCUGGAGUGGGGGAUAACGUAGCGAAAGUUACGCUAAUACCGCAUAUUCUGUGAGCAGGAAAGCAGGGGAUCGCAAGACCUUGCGCUCUGGGAGCGGCCGAUGUCGGAUUAGCUAGUUGGUGGGUAAAGGCCUACCAAGGCGACGAUCCGUAGCGGGUCUGAGAGGAUGAUCCGCCACACUGGGACUGAGACACGGCCCAGACUCCUACGGGAGGCAGCAGUGGGGAAUUUUGGACAAUGGGCGAAAGCCUGAUCCAGCCAUGCCGCGUGAGUGAAGAAGGCCUU